rnacentral:rRNA from 1 species
AGCUCUGUAAGCGUAUACCAAAGUUGUUGCAGUUAAAACGCUCGUAGUCGAACUUUGGCAGUAUGUUGUGAUGCUUCCGCGAGGAGGUUGUUACUUCAUCUGCCUUUGUGGCCGGCGGCCUAGUGGUGCUUCAUUGCCUCGCUAGCGUUGCUACCACCGUUUACUGUGAAAAAAUUAGAGUGUUCAAAGCAAGCGUUUGCCCUGAAUACAUUAGCAUGGAAUAAUAGAAUAGGACCUGUGUCUUGUUUUAUUGGUUUGUAAAGUUCAGGUAAUGAUUAAGAGGGACGGUCGGGGGCAUUUGUAUUCCUGGGUUAGAGGUGAAAUUCUUGGAUCCUAGGAAGACACACAGCUGCGAAAGCGUCUGCCAAGGACGUUUUCAUUGAUCAAGAACGAAAGUACG